UUCAUGAAUAUUAAAAUUUGAAGGUUGUGCUGAGUCCACACCUCUGUUUGCUCAUUGCUGGCCACUGCAGCUAAAGAACUGGCCCCACACUUGGUCGAGAUGCUCCACCCUUUACCUUUGGGCAUGGGAUAGCUAAUUCAAAUGGCAUGAACAUAGAAGAACUAGCUUCACCCCUCUCUUGAGGAGUGUAAUCCCAGCAACCUGGCCUGAUCAGAGCGACUACCACUCAGACCCACAUCAAAAGCUUUGAGUGGAUACACCCCAACAUCUACCGCAUCUAUGGACUGCAGGAGCACAUGAAAUGAAUCAUAAACACAGGAUCUCCAUGAGUAGGGACAACAUCAGCAAAUCCAAGAGGAGCCCUGGUGAGGAUCCAGUGUUGAUGAUUGUAUACCAAAAGACAGAGGACUUGAACCUAAGAAACAACACAUUACACAAUGAACAUUUAUACCAAACAUCCCUGGUGGUUUGGAGGUUUAAGCACGAAGUCUGGAUAUUCAGGCCUGCAACACCAUAUAGGGAAGAGAACUCACCUUUGGAAAAUCAGCCUCUUUUA